rnacentral:rRNA from 1 species
AUGACACGCACGGUGGCCGCGACUGCUCCGCUGAGAAGAACGGGAAGGUGGAGGAGGGCGGCGAUGGCCUUCGGUUCUCCAGCUGCUGCUAUUUCCGCUGCGAGGGGAAGGACGAGGCGGCGCUGCUCGCCUUCAGUGGCGCUCGGCGCCCGGGUCGUUGCCAACCUCAGCCAGGCAGCAUCACAUCGGUGGCCUCCUCACGUCCGCCUCGUACCGCUCCUGCGCCUCGCGGCCGGCCAGGAGGCGCCCGAACUCGCGGCGGCCGUGCUUGGACGCCAACGCGUCGGCCUUGGACACGCGCGCGCAUACGCGUUGGCUCCGAAGGAUGUGGACCACGAGCUCCACGCCCACCCCAGCGUUCGUCGUCGUCUCCGGCGCCUCCAGGAGGUUCUUGGCCGUCGACUGCCUGCCGCUCUGGGGGCUUGA